rnacentral:misc_RNA from 1 species
AGAGAGAGAGAGAGAAAGAGAAGGUUCAUAUCCCUUACUUUUGCAAUUCCUCAGCUCCAUGCGCAAAGCGGCACCUAUCCCCAAAAGUGCAAGUUCCUUUAGCAUAGUUCUCACACAGCUUAGUUUUGAAGUUGUUUGCUGGGCCAGAAGAAUGUAUAGCGUGGUUCCUCAUUGGAGGACCAGAUGCGUGACUGACAUUCCCAAUAAGCUCA